rnacentral:rRNA from 1 species
CUUUAUCUAAUUAAAGAAUUUCGGAAACGGAUAGGCUCGCGUGACAUUAGCUAGAUGGCGGGGUAACGGCCCACCAUGGCGACGAUGUCUAGGGGUUCUGAGAGGAAGGUCCCCCACACUGGAACUGAGACACGGUCCAGACUCCUACGGGAGGCAGCAGUGAGGAAUAUUGGUCAAUGGUCGAGAGACUGAACCAGCCAUGCCGCGUGAAGGUCACGGCCCUAUGGGUCUUAAACUUCUUUUGUAAGGGAGCAAUAAGUCUCACGUGUGGGAUGAUGAGAGUACCUUACGAAUAAGCAUCGGCUAACUCCGUGCCAGCAGCCGCGGUAAUACGGGGGAUGCAAGCGUUAUCCGGAUUUAUUGGGUUUAAAGGGUGCGUAGGCGGUCUGUUAAGUCAGCGGUGAAAUUUAGGGGCUCAACCUCUACCGUGCCGUUGAUACUGGCAGUCUGGAAUGCGGAUGCCGUGGGAGGAAUGUGUGGUGUAGCGGUGAAAUGCAUAGAUAUCACACAGAACACCGAUUGCGAAGGCAUCUCACGAAUCCGCAAUUGACGCUGAGGCACGAAAGCGUGGGGAUCAAACAGGAUUAGAUACCCUGGUAGUCCACGCUGUAAACGAUGAUGACUAACCGUCGGCGAUAUACAGUCGGUGGCCAAGCGAAAGCGAUAAGUCAUCCACCUGGGGAGUACGACCGCAAGGUUGAAACUCAAAGGAAUUGACGGGGGCCCGCACAAGCGGAGGAACAUGUGGUUUAAUUCGAUGAUACGCGAGGAACCUUACCCGGGCUCGAACGGCAGAUGAAUAUAUUAGAGAUAGUAUAGUCUUCGGACAUCUGUCGAGGUGCUGCAUGGUUGUCGUCAGCUCGUGCUGUGAAGUGUCGGCUUAAGUGCCAUAACGAGCGCAACCCUUGCCGUUAGUUGCCAUCAGGUUAUGCUGGGGACUCUAGCGGGACUGCCACCGCAAGGCGUGAGGAAGGGGGGGAUGACGUCAAAUCAGCACGGCCCUUACGUCCGGGGCGACACACGUGUUACAAUGGUGAGUACAGAGGGAAGCUACCUGGCGACAGGAUGCAGAUCUCGAAAGCUCAUCCCAGUUCGGAUUGGAGUCUGCAACCCGACUCCAUGAAGUUGGAUUCGCUCCCA